AACGAACGCUGGCGGCAUGCCUAACACAUGCAAGUCGAACGAGACCUUCGGGUCUAGGGGCGCACGGGUGCGUAACGCGUGGGAACCUGCCCUUAGGUUCGGAAUAACUCCCCGAAAGGGGUGCUAAUACCGGAUAAUGUCUUCGGACCAAAGAUUUAUCGCCUUUGGAUGGGCCCGCGUUGGAUUAGCUAGUUGGUAGGGUAAAAGCCUACCAAGGCGACGAUCCAUAGCUGGUCUGAGAGGAUGAUCAGCCACACUGGGACUGAGACACGGCCCAGACUCCUACGGGAAGCAGCAGUGGGGAAUAUUGGACAAUGGGCGAAAGCCUGAUCCAGCAAUGCCGCGUGAGUGAUGAAGGCCUUAGGGUUGUAAAGCUCUUUUACCCGGGAUGAUAAUGACAGUACCGGGAGAAUAAGCUCCGGCUAACUCCGUG
rnacentral:rRNA from 1 species